CAAGGAUGAUGCCUGUCUCUACUCACCAGCAUCUGAGCCGGAGGUCAUCACUGUCGGUGCCACCAACAGUGAGGACCAACCCGCCUCCAUCGGCACCCUGGGCACCAACUUUGGCCGCUGCGUGGACCUGUUUGCCCCGGGGGACGACAUCAUCGGUGCCUCCAGCGACUGCAGCACCUGCUUCACGGCGCAGAGUGGGACGUCGCAGGCGGCCGCGCACGUGGCAGGCAUUGCCGCCAUGCUGCUCAGCGCUGAGCCCCAGCUGAGCCUCGGCGAGCUCCGGCAGCGCCUCCUGCACUUCGCCACCAAGAACGCCAUGGACAUGGCGUGGUUCCCCGAGGAGCAGCGGCUCCAGACGCCCAACAGCGUGGCCGGGCUGCCGGCCCAGCUGGACUCAGGUAAACACCUCAGCCGCCUGCGGGGUGCCCACAGAGCUCUGCCCUUACUGGGGAAAGAGGUGUUUGGGUGGGAG
rnacentral:lncRNA from 1 species